rnacentral:rRNA from 1 species
ACUAGAGUAGCACUCGCAUAUCAAUAAGCGGAGGAAAAGAAACUAACAAGGAUUCCCCUAGUAACGGCGAGUGAAGCGGGAAGAGCUCAAAUUUGAAAUCUUAAAGGGUUUCCCUUUACGAAUUGUAGUUUAAAGAAGUGUUUUCUGUUGAGGUUUUGGUAAAAGUUCUUUGGAAUAGGACAUCAUAGAGGGUGAGAAUCCCGUAUUUGACCUUUACUUUCAACUUUGUGAUACACUUUCAAAGAGUCGGAUUGUUUGGGAAUGCAGUCCAAAAUGGGUGGUAAAUUUCAUCUAAAGCUAAAUAUUGGCGAGAGACCGAUAGCGAACAAGUACCGUGAGGGAAAGAUGAAAAGAACUUUGAAAAGAGAGUUAAACAGUACGUGAAAUUGUCGAAAGGGAAGCGUUUGACACCAGUGUUGUUUUUCUGAAAAUCAAUUAAAGAACUGUUUAUGCUAAGCUGUUUAGACUUUAUCAGCUAUCUGUUUAGUUUUGAGCUUUUCUUUAAUGCACUUUUCAGUUAACAAGUCAACAUCAAUUUCUUUUGCUGUAAAAAAGCUUGAGGAAGGUGGCUUGAGAUUCGUCUUAAGUGUUUAUAGCCUCUUGCCUAUGCAGUCGGAGAGAUUGAGGUCUGCAGCGUAGAUCCUUCGGGGCUAAAUGCAUUUGUGCUAAGUUAUAGCAUUUUAUAGACAACUUGUUGACUAUGAUUUGUCUUGUAGCUUACUCGCUUAUGUUAUUUUACCUACGCUUAGGAUGUUGAGCGCAUGUCUCUCUCU